ACGCACGCUGGCGGCAUGCCUAACACAUGCAAGUCGCACGAGACCUUUGGGUCUAGUGGCGCACGGGUGCGUAACGCGUGGGAAUCUGCCCUUGGGUUCGGAAUAACAGUGAGAAAUUGCUGCUAAUACCGGAUGAUGUCUUCGGACCAAAGAUUUAUCGCCCAGGGAUGAGCCCGCGUAGGAUUAGCUAGUUGGUGGGGUAAUGGCCUACCAAGGCGACGAUCCUUAGCUGGUCUGAGAGGAUGAUCAGCCACACUGGGACUGAGACACGGCCCAGACUCCUACGGGAGGCAGCAGUGGGGAAUAUUGGACAAUGGGCGCAAGCCUGAUCCAGCAAUGCCGCGUGAGUGAUGAAGGCCUUAGGGUUGUAAAGCUCUUUUACCAGGGAUGAUAAUGACAGUACCUGGAGAAUAAGCUCCGGCUAACUCCGUG
rnacentral:rRNA from 1 species